GUAGGGGAGCUUCCUAUGCAGGCUGAAGCAUGACCGUAAGGACGUGUGGACAGUAUAGGAGUGAGAAUGUUGGCAUGAGUAGCGAGACGUGGGUGAGAAUCCCACGGGCCGUAAACCCAAGGUUUCCAGGGGAAGGUUCGUCCGCCCUGGGUUAGUCGGGACCUAAGCCGAGGCCGAAAGGCGUAGGUGAUGGACAACAGGUUGAGAUUCCUGUACCACCGAUAAUCGUUUGAGAGAUGGAAUGACACAGUAGGAUAAGCUAACCACACUGUUGGUUAUGUGUGGCUAAGUACUGAGGCAGUCAAGGCAGGCAAAUCCGCCAUGAUAAUGCUGGGGUACGAUGGGGAGCGAAAUUAAGUAGCGAAGUAGCUGAUUUCACACUGUCGAGAAAAGUUUCUAUCGAGAUUAAAGGUGCCCGUACCGCAAACCGACACAGGUGGGUGAGGAGAGUAUCCUAAGGCCAGCGAGAGAACUGUUGUUAAGGAACUCGGCAAAAUGACCCCGUAACUUAGGGAGAAGGGGUGCCACGUUAGGGUUAACGCCCGAGGUGGCCGCAGAGAAUAGGCCCAAGCGACUGUUUACCAAAAACACAGGUUUCUGCUAAGUCGCAAGACGAUGUAUAGGAGCUGACGCCUGCCCGGUGCUGGAAGGUUAAGGGGAUCUGUUAGGAUUUAUCCGAAGCAGUGAACUUAAGCCCCAGUAAACGGCGGCCGUAACUAUAACGGUCCUAAGGUAGCGAAAUUCCUUGUCGGGUAAGUUCCGACCCGCACGAAAGGCGUAACGAUUUGGGCACUGUCUCAACAACAGACUCGGUGAAAUUGUAAUCCCGGUGAAGAUGCCGGGUACCUGCGACAGGACGGAAAGACCCCAUGGAGCUUUACUGUAGCUUGACAUUGAAUUUUGGUGCUACAUGUACAGGAUAGGUGGGAGGCUAUGAAAUCGGGACGCCAGUCUCGGUGGAGCUAUCCUUGGGAUACCACUCUUGUAGUACUGAGAUUCUAACCAGAUACCUUGAAUCAGGUAUUGGGACACUGUCAGGUGGGCAGUUUGACUGGGGCGGUCGCCUCCCAAAGAGUAACGGAGGCGCUCAAAGGUUCUCUCAGCACGGUCGGAAAUCGUGCGUAGAGUGUAAAGGCAGAAGAGAGCUUGAUUGCAAGACAUACAGGUCGAGCAAGGACGAAAGUCGGACUUAGUGAUCCGGUGGUUCCGCAUGGAAGGGCCAUCGCUCAACGGAUAAAAGCUACCCUGGGGAUAACAGGCUUAUCUCCCCCAAGAGUCCACAUCGACGGGGAGGUUUGGCACCUCGAUGUCGGCUCAUCACAUCCUGGGGCUGUAGUAGGUCCCAAGGGUUGGGCUGUUCGCCCAUUAAAGUGGUACGCGAGCUGGGUUCAGAACGUCGUGAGACAGUUCGGUCCCUAUCCGUCGCAGGCGUAGGAAAUUUGAGGAGACCUGUCCUUAGUACGAGAGGACCGGGAUGGACGUACCUCUGGUGUACCAGUUGUUCUGCCAAGGGCAUGGCUGGGUAGCUAUGUACGGAAUGGAUAAGCGCUGAAAGCAUCUAAGCGCGAAGCCAACUUCAAGAUAAGAUUUCCCACCGUAAGGGUAAGAUCCCAGGAAGACUACCUGGUUGA
rnacentral:rRNA from 1 species